AGAAAAGCCAGCCUGCUGCGUUGGACCAUGUCCGUCCGCAUGAUAUCCCCUGGGUCCACCUGGAACUUCAGAAUGCGACUGUAUUUGGAAAUAGAAUCUUUGAGAUGUGAGAAGUUAAAAUGAAGUCAUGCUGGUUUCCAGUGGGCCCUAAAUGCAGUGACGAGUGUCCUUCUAAGAAGAAGAGACACAGAGAGAAGCUGGCCAUGAGACUGGGCGGUGCAGACAAAAUCCAAGAAACGCCCAGGAUUUCAGGAGCUGGAGAGGCGGGAAGGAGCCCCACCACAGCCUUCAGAGGGAGCACGGCCCUGGCCACACCUGGAUUUGGGACUGUGGACUCCAGACUGUGAAAGGAUGAGCCUCUGUUGUUUCAGCUGUCCAGUUUGUGAAGUGUUACAGGUGCCCAGGACCCUGAUAGAAAGAGGUAGAAAAGUCCCUGCCCUCUCUGUGAAUAUCUGCCCUUCCGUAUGUUGAACUUGGGUUCACAACCAAUAAUAACCUGUGACCAAAUCCUAGGAGUAGCCCUGACUCAUGCUGCCCUAAUCCUUUGGGCUUCGCUUCCCAGGUGGCAAGGGCAGCUAAAUCCCUGGGCUUUGAGGUCAGGACAACUUUGCUUUGAGCUUACCGGCUUAGAAGAUACACUUUAAAGCAAGUCGAGGUAAUUACAGUUUCCUAGGAACAGAAAGGUGUUCUUCAGCGACCUCAGCAUUUUGGUGCCUCCACCCUGCCUCAGGGUCCCCCCCUCCUGACUCCUGGAAACAUCUCCAUCCCCUUCCUUGUCAUCAGGCCUGAGUCUGGGCCUCCGCUGGCUCUAGCACGUCCUGCAUCUCUGUUCUGCCUGGGUCUCCUCUGCUGCUCCCUGAGGUCACUCAGUCUACCCUGCAGGCGUUUACAUGCAUUUUAACACUUCAACACAAAAUCACUACAGUGAGACUGUAAUGCCAGGUUCAUGGGACCCCAAUAGACCUCCAGGAGCAGAAUCCGAUGCAAUCACACAAGAGUCUUUAUUGCAAGCUCGAGCCUAGACUCACAACUCUUCCCGACGCAGCGGUCCCAGGGAGUGAGUCCUGGUCCUUUGUUCAGUGAGAUUUUAUAGGUUUUGGGAGGAUACUCUAUGUGUCACAACAUCACACAGCAAAUCAUUCCAUACUGCGGGAAAAUCAAACAACAACUCUUAACAUUGGUUAGCACAUUCACUGGCGGGAACAAGUUGGGUAGGGGUGAUUGGUUAGUACAAGAGGGGGAUUCCUUUGAACUGAUUGGUUUAGGCCACGAGGGGCAUACGUGCUAAACUACAUGGUUUCCCAACACGUUAUCAACACCAUAAACUACUGGGUGGUCAUCUGGCAUUCCAGGUAUUUCCCCUGUCUCAUGCUGAUUGGAGGUUGCUAGGGGGUUGCUAUGGGUCCUCACCUAGCCUAACUGAGUCAGGGACACCUGGCACCACAGACCUCUCCUGUUAUUUACAGACAAACAACUCACAGGGUGGGUAUGUGCUUAGGAGUGCUCUGUGGGUUUUUCCAAGGACAAAGGUCACGCCCCCUUCCUUAGGACAGGCCUUGAGGUAGAAGCUGCUGUUAUUUAUUUAUUUUCAAAAAUGGAGUCACAUCAGUUUCUCAAGACUUUAAGGACAAGAAGCAGGCUGUGGCUCAGGGCUAGCCCAGCUGCUGAAGCCCAAGGGGGCAACUCACCUGGCUUGAGUUUGUGUUGGCACACCACCCUCAAUCACUUGGGAUUUCCACCUGUCACCCCUCAAAAUCAGAAGCCAUGCCCUGUUCUAGGCUCAGAAUCAGAAGCAUUCCUGGUGUUGAGGAUCUCACAAUCUGUUUUUGUUUGUUUGUUUGUUUCAGCACUGGGGAUGGGACGAGGAGUACUUUAGUACUCAGCCACAUUCCCAACUCCUUUUUAUUUUUCAUUUUGAAUCAGGGUUUCACUAAGUUGUUGAGACUGACUUUGAACUUGUGGUCCUCCUGCCUCUGCCUCCUGAGCAGCUGGGAUUAUAAGCAUGUGCCACUGCAUUUAGUUACAUAAUCCAGCUUAAUCUGGUGACAAUACUGUCACUCCUGUACUAUAUUUCAGUGUAUCAAUUUAAUUGAUGAUAGGUUCCUUCCUAUGGGAGAGGGGGUUAAAAAGAAUAGGAAUCUGGUUAUUUCACUCACAUCUUUUCUUUUCUGGCCUUAUUUGUCACUGUGCUCCAAGCUGCCUCACGUUUGCUGGAAGGCUCUGGAAGUGGUGCCAACCUGGGCAAUCUCUCUGGCUGAUCUGUGGAGACCUCAGGGGACAAAAGGGCUGGAGGUGGCACUGGUGCAGUUAGUGCUGCCAGCAUCUCACAAUGACAAUGCAACUUUCCCCUCCCCAUGGCCCACCCUCACACAGCCAGGGGCCACCUGAGCCCACCUGGGCCUUGGGGCAACCAGAUUAGUUGUCUUCUGCCUAGGAUGGAAUGCUCCAGAGAGGACCUCAGGCUAGAAGUGCCAGAUGGCGUUCGUGCGCCCUCUCCUGCCAACCCCCACGGUGCGUGGCAAACCCUGUUGUCUGAGUCGGAGCCUGUUGCCAGCCUGAGCCAGCCAGUCAGUAAGUGCUACAGCUAAGGUCCACACCAGCUGAAGAACCCGGAGAGACCCGUGCCUGGCUCAGGUUCCCCUCCAUGGCUUCUGGAGAACGUCUUCCUGAACGCCUCGUGGCCGGCUAGGUCCUAGCCAGGUGAUAUCCUUUGCUGGCACACCCAAACAUCCGAACGCAGGGAGGUGUGUGGGACUUGUGUUCAGUUCAGAAACGAGUUUAAACCAAACCUGGCCUCAGCCAAAGGCCCUCUGGCAUUGCAUUUGCUGGCCAGAUCCCACUUGAGAGUGGUGCAGAGACCGUGGUUCUCGGAACUGUCUGGAGAACUUUGCUCUUACUAGCUGCUCCUUCCCUCUGGCACUACUCUGGCUGCUCUUUGAGGGGACCUGCCCUAACUGCCUCCUUCUGGACUUGCUGCAUUGCUUAUGGGCAGGAAUCCCAGGCUCGGCUCUGCUUGCAGGAUGAAAGAAUCCAGAAGAGCCUGUGUCUGUCAUUGUUUUAAAUCCUGUGCUGAGGAGACAAACUCAGCUAAAAACCACAUUUUCCUGUUAUACAAAGCUCACCAAGGCAGAAACGGCACUCUGUCAAGUGAGAGCAUGAGGACUCUAGAGGACUUGGCAAACAGAGUUCUUGGUGUCCACGUUGUCCCCAGCACUGAAGUGUGCUCCUGGGCUGCAGGCCGUCCGUCCUUGCUGGAGACCGCGGGGCUGGGGACGGCCGGGCUUUCCUUUCCCACUGUUCAGCGUCAGCGCAGUAUGGGUUUUUCCCAGCACCCCUCGCCCAGCUUGCUUUUGGCUGGUGUUUUGUGGCAGGAGACAGACAUGGAGGGCCAUCUACAACAGAGGGAUGCAUCAGGCAGGCGAGAAGCCUGGCAAGUGGAGGAGAGAGGAAGAGCAGAUGUCGAAAGGCCAAGAAGACUGGGGUGCUCUCCCCACGCCCUCACUCUGGGGAAGGGCAGGCAGGGUGCACAUGGCCAGGAUGUGGCCCUCCUCUGAAGAGUUAAAAAUGUCUUUGCACAGGGACACUUGGAACUUUGUUUCAAAUCUAAGCAACCGGCAGGAAUAAAGAGGAGCCUGUGGGCUCAUGUAGUCAAGGAAACACUGAGAUCAGACCUCUCUCUGCCCAGUCUCCAGUUCCAGUCUUUCAUGUCACCUUUCUGUCCCUAGCUCCUUUUUCUUCUUCCUGCAAAGGCAAAAACCAGAGUGACCCUUCUAAAUCUCCAGAUUUUCAGUGGAUGACUAGUUCAAGAUCAAGCAUGACGGUCACACAGAAAACAAACAGAAAGUAAAGAGCAAGAGGAGAACAAGUGGGCAGAGCCAGAAAUCCCACCCAGAGAUGGUGAAGGCCACAUUCAUGGCCAGCAUUGACCUCAGGGGCUGGAGGACCAAUGCAGACUGCUCUGUCACCUUGGUUGGUACCUGUGGGGAAAGGGAGAGAAACGGAGAAGGAUGUGGGAAUGUAGGGCAUGAGCUCUGCUGUCAGGAGCAAGACCUCUCCCCCGCCCAGGAGGCAGCGCCCACUGAAAUUGGAAACAUUCUCGGUCUGUGUAUAAAUGCUGUUUUCAUUCUU
rnacentral:lncRNA from 1 species